GGAGGAGUCGCCGCCGCCCUUGCUGGCUGCCGCUGGGCUCCGAGCCAUCUGUCGGGGGCGCCCCAGGGGCUCCUGCCUCGUGCCGGACGCGGGACGCCAAUCUCCACCCUGACCCUCUGCCGCCUUCACCUGGGGGCCUGCGACCAUCAGCGUCCCAUUCACACAGCGUGCGGACUGUCUGAUGCCGACGCCCUGCUUUCUAGCCUGUGUCGCCAUGGGACAGCGCUAAGGACCUGUGAUCACCGAUCCUGACUCCGGAGUGACAUCCAAUUUUGACACCAGGUCAGGAAGGUCACAUGAUAAUAAUACAGCGCUGAAGCUAA